rnacentral:rRNA from 1 species
UACAGAGGGUGCGAGCGUUGUCCGGAAUCACUGGGCGUAAAGCGCACGUAGGCGGAUUGGUCAGUUAGAGGUGAAAUCCCGAAGCUCAACUUCGGAACUGCCUUUAAUACUGCCAGUCUAGAGUCCGGAAGAGGUAAGUGGAACUCCUAGUGUAGAGGUGGAAUUCGUAGAUAUUAGGAAGAACACCAGUGGCGAAGGCGGCUUACUGGUCCGGUACUGACGCUGAGGUGCGAAAGCGUGGGGAGCAAACAGG